rnacentral:rRNA from 1 species
UACGGGGGGAGCAAGCGUUGUUCGGAUUUACUGGGCGUAAAGGGCGCGUAGGCGGCGCAACAAGUCACUUGUGAAAUCUCCGGGCUUAACCCGGAGCGGUCAAGUGAUACUGUCGUGCUAGAGUGCGGAAGGGGCUACUGGAAUUCUCGGUGUAGCGGUGAAAUGCGUAGAUAUCGAGAGGGAACACCUGCGGCGAAGGCGGGUAGCUGGGCCGACACUGAUGCGUGAUGCGCGAAAGCCCAGGGGAGCGAACGGG